CCUCCCUGUGGCUGGGCCAGUCAGACCCCAGCACAUGGCCAUUCAACCAAAGCAACCUCUCACACUUGGUUGAUUGGUGAGUUGGAGGCUCCAGUGGCCCCUGUCAGACUUGAGACCUCAGACCUGCCCACCACAGCCAGUUUCCCACACAGCCUGGGACUGACUGGGUGACGGAGAAGGAUCCUUACCAUGGAACUAGCCAGGUCCAGCCCCAGGGUUGCAAAGAUUGAUGAUUGGAAGUUGGGACUCCAGCCCAAGCUGGGGGAGGAUCCUUUCCCCUCUGGGCUCCUGUGUUUCCACCUAAGCCCGGCUCACCCAUGAGCCAGGCAUCUGCUGGCAGAUGAGAACAAGACGUGGUCUCAGGAAGUCUGCAGGCAGACCAGGAGCCCAGGCCUUCAAGGAUGAGACCUGAGGCCAUGCCGCAUUCCUGGCCUGGCCAUGUCUGUUCAUAGAAUUGCCUCCACGUUAGCCAGCCCCAUGCCUCCAGACUCUAUGUCUACACAGCUCACCUUGGCCAUCUCGGGGCCAGAGGGCAGAAGCAGCUUAUGUUGGGAAGGGGCAUCUGAGAAGAAGGAGCAGGUCUGCUUGUCAAGAGUCCAAGCACGCCUGUGUUCUGUGGCCACAGGAGAGGAGGGGCCGCUUUUAAAUACAAGCCUACUCCUGUCGUUGGACCAGAACAAAGACCUACUGGCCAGAAGCACAUGAGAGGAGGAGUUUCACUCUUGUCGCCCAGACUAGAGCGCAAUGGUACGAUCUUGGCUCACUGCAACUUCCACCUCCCGAGUUCAAGCAAUUCUCCUGACAGAAGUCCACUCAAGCCAGCCAUUG
rnacentral:lncRNA from 10 species